GACGAACGCUGGCGGCGUGCCUAAUACAUGCAAGUCGAGCGAGCGGCGGACGGGUGAGUAACACGUAAGGAACCUACCGAUAAGCGGGGGACAACAUCCGGAAACGGGUGCUCAUACCGCAUACUUAUCGCUGGCCUUGCGGUGCAUUAGCUAGUUGGUGGGGUAACGGCCUACCAAGGCAAUGAGGCAUAGCCGACCUGAGAGGGGAAGCGGCCACAGUGGGACGGAGACACGGCCCAAACUCCGACGGGAGGCAGCAGGAGGGAAUCUGCCGCAAUGGGCGCAAGCCUGACGGAGCAACGCCGCGUGAGUGAAGAAGGUUUUCGGAUCGUAAAGCUCUGUUGUAAGAGAAGCGGUAUCUUACCAGAAAUCCACGGCUAACUACGUGCCAGCAGCCGCGGUAAUAC
rnacentral:rRNA from 1 species